rnacentral:tRNA from 1 species
GGUGGGCGUAGCUCAGUUGGUUAGAGCGCAAGAUUGUGGAUCUUGAGGUCGCGGGUUCAAGACCCGUCUUCCACCC